ACUUUUUUGACUGCUUUCGGUCUCUGAGGUUGAAAUGAUCCUUCUACUGUUGCACAAGGUUGCUUCAAUUGGCUUCCUGGAGAUACCUACUCUUUCACCUCCCGCUGACUUGGGAAUGCUACGAAUUGCUUGGAGGUUUUUGCUUAGCCCUUGUUUCUACUGGAGCCUGGGUUGGUUAUGUCUGAUUGUGGUCUCUUCAACACAGAUUUCAGGCAUGGAAUUACAGUUCCAUCAAAGGUCCCUUCAAUGGGGAGAAGAUGAGCCCAUUGAUGUCGGCACAUGGAGGCCUACAACCAACAUGCUUUUGGAAUUAGUCUCCUAGCAGCAGUCAUUCAUGUUAUGUGGUCUUUCUUCCAUGGGCAAUGCCACCCCUGAAACUGACUUCAAGCAUUUUUCAUUGCCUGUUCUGCGUGAAUAGCCACAGGCCUCUUGCCAAUUGUCCCUGUCAAAGAAAGGCCGAGCAGAAGCCUUUCAACUUUGUCACAGUGUGCGACGGAGACUUCUAUCGCAUUGUUGUUUGGAUGACGGUUAGCACUGUAAAGUGGGCCUGGAAGAGAAUGCACAAUAAGAAGUGAUUGAGGCUUUAUGCAGUCUCCAGAUGCUGGCAUGUUUAUUAAUUUACAAAACUCAUGUCAUUGGCUAUAAAGAAAAGAUCAGGCCUAUUGAAGAUCAGUUCUGUUUGCUUGUAGUGCAUUAACAAUAUAUUGGCAAUUUCUCUUAAGUGCUCAACUUCCUGUUAUUGGUUCUGAAUUCUCAAGUGUUUUUUUUUGUUGCAGUGUAAUUUUAUGUUGCUGUGCAAAGCUUCUUGCAAAAGCUAGAAAAUAAUUUUGAACAGACAGCAGCAAAAACAUAACGUGCCUGUAGUUUUUCGAUUUCUCGUUUCAUUUUAGUGGCUUUCUCCUGGCUGUGGAAAGUGGAAAUGGCAUUAACCGUGCAGUCGUCUGCAGACAGUUUGCCCAAUCGAGCUGAAGGAAGGAGCAUGGAUUGGAACAUUUAUUUUAAGAAAAGAGGAAAAAUGUUCAUUCUCAAGCAAAGCGGUUUUACAGCGUUCUGUUCUGAGCUAAUGGUUCCCACAUCCUAACCGCCCAUUUCCUUCUUCAUAGCUGGUUUCAACAUGGCUAAUGCAGCUUGCUCCUUAUCUACUGUACAGCCCAGUCACAAUGACACAACACAAGGCUUUAAUGUAAAAGUGUCUG